UACGUAGGCAGCGAGCGUUGUUCGGAGUUACUGGGCGUAAAGCGUGCGUAGACGGCUAUCUAAGUCGGGUGUGAAAGCCCCGGGCUCAACCUGGGAAUUGCAUUCGAGACUGAAUAGCUAGGGUACGGUAGAGGGAAGUGGAAUUUCCGGUGUAGCGGUGAAAUGCGUAGAUAUCGGAAGGAACAUCAGUGGCGAAAGCGACUUCCUGGACCAGUACCGACGUUCAGGCACGAAAGCGUGGGGAGCAAACAGG
rnacentral:rRNA from 1 species